GAUGAACGCUGGCGGCGUGCUUAACACAUGCAAGUCGAACGGGAAACCUUUUAAUGAAGUUUCGGCAGAUUUAGCUGGUUUCUAGUGGCGGACGGGUGAGUAACGCGUGGGUAACCUGCCUUAUACAGGGGGAUAACAGUCAGAAAUGACUGCUAAUACCGCAUAAGCGCACAGGACCGCAUGGUCCGGUGUGAAAAACUCCGGUGGUAUAAGAUGGACCCGCGUUGGAUUAGCUAGUUGGUGGGGUAACGGCUCACCAAGGCGACGAUCCAUAGCCGGCCUGAGAGGGUGAACGGUCACAUUGGGACUGAGACACGGCCCAGACUCCUACGGGAGGCAGCAGUGGGGAAUAUUGCACAAUGGGGGAAACCCUGAUGCAGCGACGCCGCGUGAAGGAAGAAGUAUCUCGGUAUGUAAACUUCUAUCAGCAGGGAAGAUAGUGACGGUACCUGAUUAAGAAGCCCCGGCUAACUACGUGCCAGCAGCCGCGGUAAUACGUAGGGGGCAAGCGUUAUCCGGAUUUACUGGGUGUAAAGGGAGCGUAGACGGACUGGCAAGUCUGAUGUGAAAGGCGGGGGCUCAACCCCUGGACUGCAUUGGAAACUGUUAGUCUUGAGUGCCGGAGAGGUAAGCGGAAUUCCUAGUGUAGCGGUGAAAUGCGUAGAUAUUAGGAGGAACACCAGUGGCGAAGGCGGCUUACUGGACGGUAACUGACGUUGAGGCUCGAAAGCGUGGGGAGCAAACAG
rnacentral:rRNA from 1 species